AGGAUAAACGCUGGCGGCGUGCCUAACACAUGCAAGUCGAACGCGCUUUCGGGCUUCGGUGCGAGAGCGAGUGGCGGACGGGUGAGUAACACAUGGGUACCUGCCUUUCAGUGAGGGAUACCGGCGAGAAAUCGCCGACAAUACCGCAUGGGCUUGUGGGAACACAAGCAAAGUGGCGCAAGCCACGCUGGAAGAUGGGCCUGUGGCCGAUUAGCUAGUUGGGGGGGUAACGGCCUCCCAAGGCGACGAUCGGUAGCUGGUCUGAGAGGACGAUCAGCCACACUGGGAUUGAGAACGGCCCAGACUCCUACGGGGGCAGCAGUGAGGAAUUUUCCGCAAUGGGCGCAAGCCUGACGGAGCAACGCCGCGUGCAGGAAGACGGUUUUCGGAUCGUAAACUGCUUUUCUCGGGGACGAGAACGGACGGUACCCGAGGAAUCAGCCCCGGCUAACUACGUGCCAGCAGCCGC
rnacentral:rRNA from 1 species